AGUGAACGCUGGCGGUAGGCCUAACACAUGCAAGUCGAACGGCAGCACAGUAAGAGCUUGCUCCUACGGGUGGCGAGUGGCGGACGGGUGAGGAAUAAAUCGGAAUCUACUUUUUCGUGGGGGAUAACGUAGGGAAACUUACGCUAAUACCGCAUACGACCUACGGGUGAAAGCAGGGGAUCUUCGGACCUUGCGCGAUUGAAUGAGCCGAUGUCGGAUUAGCUAGUUGGCGGGGUAAAGGCCCACCAAGGCAACGAUCCGUAGCUGGUCUGAGAGGAUGAUCAGCCACACUGGAACUGAGACACGGUCCAGACUCCUACGGGAGGCAGCAGUGGGGAAUAUUGGACAAUGGGCGCAAGCCUGAUCCAGCCAUACCGCGUGGGUGAAGAAGGCCUUCGGAUUGUAAAGCCCUUUUGUUGGGAAAGAAAAGCAGCAGGUUUAUACCCCGCUGUUCUGACGGUACCCAAAGAAUAAGCACCGGCUAACUUCGUG
rnacentral:rRNA from 1 species